UUUGCGUGGAAAACACCUAGUUCAAAAGGUGAAAAAAUCAUAACCUACCUUCUAAUAGGAUUUUCCAAAACUCUUCGCUAAAAUCACUAAGCCAAAAGCUGCAUUUACAAAAACUCUUUUAAAAACCUCGGAUGAACUAUAAUCCUAUUGUAGCACACAUCCUCAACUAUUGAGACAACAUGAAGUUAACUCUAACUUAAAAACUCUGAGUACCUAAUAUAAUUGCUUCUAGAUAAAGCUGAAAAGUACAAUAUGAAAAUACCUACUACAAUUGAACGAGAAUAAAAGAUAGACACUUGGAACUAGUUCUUCUAUUUGUUUCAACUAGCUUUAGAUUUGCACGCUUGAAUCACGCACAAAUUACUUGCAAAACUUCCUUACUAUUUUGCUCUAAAUUCAUGUUUAACUUCUGCUUAUAUGCAUUACCUGUAAAAGGGAACAACACUGAUAUUGGUAGAGUUAGUAAAUAGAGAUACACUAGAAUUCUGAUGCU
rnacentral:lncRNA from 1 species